ACUAGGUCUUGAGCAGCUGCUACUCCUCCCGACAGCUUCAACGACAACACUUUGGGAAGGGAGAAGUGGUGAAAAACGAAAACUGGGAAUCUGUCCCCCAGCAAAAGCUAGGACGAUCAUGAAAAUCUGGGAUGCGAUGGGCUAGAUGCAACGGUCCGGUACUCUGUGCCCUUGAAAUACAGACUGCACUACAACUCCCACUGUGACCACAACUCCCAUGAUUUCCAGUGAACAUAUCACGUCUACUCGUUCAGAAUUGCAGGGAGGAGCAGCUUACUUUUUUUCCCCAGAGAAGGGCUGUAUCAAAAAUGAUAUUUCUUGGAUGCAAAAGGUCCCAAGUUCAAGGUCUGGCAGAAAAGUGAAAAAAACCCGCAAGUAUGACAUCAUCACGACACCGGCUGAACGGGUAGAAAUGGCCCCCUUAAAUGAAGAUGAAGAUGAGGAUGAAGAUUCCACAGUGUUUGAUAUCAAAUAUAGGUGAGGCUGCCCCAGAAGGCCUGUCUGAACCAAAGAACUUUCCAAGACCGGCCACGGCAAAGCAGAGCUGAAGAACUGCUGCUUUGAAUCAGUGAAAUCCAAAUUUUCAAUUCUUUCAAAGAAUUUCUUUCAAAUCAGUCUUGAUGGAUUUAACAAGAGGCAAUCCAAAGUCACCCACAGACUUGACUGUUCUGUUCCUGGGCACCAGCGACUGAAAGGCCUGGAGAAUAUAUUUUUUUCCCCUGGACUUUGCUUUUCAGAUUUCAAUGCUGUUGCUUUUUUCAAUUACAAGUCUGGGUCCUUGUAACACAUUCCUCAGGAUGCUAGGCUAAUCCCAGGCCCUGGAAGAUGAAGCACAACCCUUUUGUUCAUCCAAGAAGCUUUCUGCUGUAAACAUUAAACUAGAUGGAGUGGUGUGUGGUUUUUUUUCACUUGCACCUAACACGUCUGAGAUUGUGUGGUUUCCUGCCGGCAAAAUCAUUUCCUCGCCAUGAGAAAGCUUGGGACUCGUUUACGAACUAUGCCGAAGUGAUUAAUCCCAUGUUCUUGUGUGCUCGGUGGUGGCGGUGGUGAUGAUGUGAUUUUUGUUUUGUUUGUGAGACAUAGGCAACUGUGAAGAUGAGACUUGCCACUGAUGAUAACAAUUGCACUAAAUAAUCUUAAUUUGCAAUAAAGCUCCCCCACUUUUUUCUCCCAGGGAGAGAGAGUCCCCAAAUGUUUUUUUUUUCUGGGCAGUGAAUUCUAGGCAGCCAAUUUUCCAAUGAGAAGGGAAUUAUUUUUUUUGCUACAUCUCGCUUCUUCUUUCCCCAACCACUUCAGUGGAAAGCGGAUCUUGCCAUAAUACGGCAACAGGCAAUAUGUAGCGCUUUGCGUGUUGCCGAACUGCAGGACCCAUCAUCCUCAGCCAGUAGAGCUGAGAAUGGUGGGAGUUGUAGUCUGGCAACACCAAGAAGGCCAUGAGCUGGCCACCUGGUGCAUUAAGCAUGUGUACGCAGAUGUGUACCUGCACAGGUGGGUGCAGACACUAAGACAUUUCCACAAUCUUGACAGUGGUUCUCUUAAAAUGUGAAGAGAGAACAUCUGUUCGCCAAUAGGAUGCUGUCAUGCACAGACUUUGUUUUUCAGUGGAAAAGAACGAAAGAUACUUCUCAUCCUGAUCAAUACGAGCCCAUUUUUGCAUGGCGGAACACAACAUAAACUAGAAGAUCUGUCUGGGUUUUCUCCGCUUUCCAUUGUAGAGCUAAUUAGUUCUUCAUUAUCGUAAGCAAAACUGCAUGGUCAGCCUGUCGCCACUUUAAAAAAGGUUGCUACUCGAGUAAGGACCAGGGACAAAUUUUGAGGGGAGGGGUAUUCUCCUGGAAUGAUUCCACCCAAGACUAUUUCUUCUUCCCUAGGUUCCAGACAUGUUCUACUAGGCGUCCAUCUGCUUGAUGUCCCGUUCCCAGAAUUGGAACUGUUGAGGGCCGUGUUAUGGAACAGCCAUUCCAUUUCUGCAAUGAAUUUCUCUGCUGUUCAUAGGACGGGAGCAGAGAGAUAUUGAAGCCUACCAAAGAGAGGUUGAUAGGCUUUUUCUUUCUUGGCCACCACAUAGAUGUCCAUCAAGUACUCUUCUGUUCCAGCAGCCAUUUGCAGAGAUGAAAAAAGGUCCCAGAAUAUCCUAGCCAGCAGAUCCAAAAAGUUCUUUCCCCCUUCUUUGGCCUUCCAUCGGUCUUUGUGGCUUUCAGAUACGUAGUAUUGGACUGGGCCAAAGGAGAGGUACAGGCUUGAGGUGGUGCCUGCAGAAGGCAAUUUUCAUAUUUGGGUGCUCCCCACAUUUUUUUCAGCCAAGACCUAUAACUCUCUUGCUUAAAAGAAGGUUUCUAAAAACGUUGACAUUUGAUUCCUCUAUUUUCAGUAGCUUAAAAUAGUCUCCGCUCUUUCAUUGGCUUUCUAUUAGUUUCCGGCUUCUGGACCGACUUAUUUCCUUAUAAAACAGUCUCUGAUCGUUUCCCUUGACUGAGCACACAGAACAUUUUGCUUGAUCCGCCUUUCCUUGCCAAAGAACGUUGAGAUUCCACAUUCGUCUCCCUUUUGCCCUGGUUGCUUCCGUCUGAUUUCCGAUCUGCCUGAUCCUCUGAUCUAUAUCUUCCUUGUUACCUGAACAGCUUGAUUUCAUCCAGGUCAUAAAACCUCUUCUGCAUCCACCAGUUACAUUAGUUUUGUUUAGCAAUAACUCUUGAAGAAACAGUGCAUGGGGGACGUGAGCAUCAGGCUGAGAGGCGUCUGUGAAAGGAUUAGCACAGGACAAUAUUGAGCGAGGUGGAUCUUUCAGGAGAAAUGUCUUGGAAUAUUGUGCCACGAUAAUUGAAAACUUCAAGCCCUCUGGGUUUCUGGGAAUCUGGCUUUAAAGCACUUCUUGACCAGGAAGCAUAUCUUUUUUUUGUUAUCUAUGGAGUUUCUUGGCUAUUUUAGGGAAAUCGUUUAUAAAUGUGUUUGUUUGCUAUGAAUCUGAGAGUCCUCUUGGUGCAUACAGGUUCUGUUGGAAUAUCUUAAAAUGCAUCAGUAUGGGUUUGUUUUGUUUUGUUUUCUUUCUAACCUAGUUCAUGCAGACAUGGACUAACAGGUGCUUUGAUCUUUAGUAGUAGCUGCAGGCAGAAAUGUACUUUUUAAAAAAGAAAGGUAAAUCUUCGUGUUGUGUCACCAAAAAGUGCAAAACAGGUUGUUGUUUUUUUU